rnacentral:rRNA from 1 species
UACGGAGGGUGCAAACGUUGCUCGGAAUUAUUGGGCGUAAAGCGCGCGCAGGUGGUUUCUUAAGUCUGAUGUGAAAGCCCACGGCUCAACCGUGGAGGGUCAUUGGAAACUGGGGAACUUGAGUGCAGAAGAGGAAAGUGGAAUUCCACGUGUAGCGGUGAAAUGCGUAGAGAUGUGGAGGAACACCUGUGGCGAAGGCGCCUUGCUGGCCGAUUUCUGACGCUGAGGCGCGAAAGCGUGGGGAGCAAACAGG